UACCUGCAGCUCGAGUGGUAACCGUUAUUAUUGGGCCUAAAGCGUCCGUAGCCGGUUUGGUAAAUAUCUGGGUAAAUCGUGAGGCUUAACUUCACGAAUUUCGGAUAGACUGCCAGACUUGGGAUCGGGGGAGGUCAGAGGUACUCCAGGGGUAGCGGUGAAAUGCUGUAAUCCUUGGAGGACCACCGGUAGCGAAGGCGUCUGACUAGAACGAGUCCGACGGUGAGGGACGAAGCCCUGGGGCGCAAACCGGAUUAGGUACCCGGGUAGUCCAGGGUGUAAACGAUGUGGGCUUUGUAUUGGAGGUCCCACGUGGGCGUCCAGUGCAGAAGAGAAGUUGUUAAGCCCACCGCCUGGGAAGUACGGUCGCAAGGCUGAAACUUAAAGGAAUUGGCGGGGGGGCACAGCAACGGGAGGAGCGUGCGGUUU
rnacentral:rRNA from 1 species